GAAGUUUCCGAAGCUUACAUUGUGGCUGCAGGUGCAUCGGAUGAAAUGGAGAAAAAAGGAAUCAAGAUAUUAAAGGCACGUGAUGUGGUGGCAGUCCAGCUGGGGAGGUUGAGCCCAGUGCCAGUCGUGACAGUCAAAAGAGGAAGAUAGAGGAGCUCGAACGUGCAAACGCCAAGCUGGAAAAAAGGCCACGCAAGGCAAAGG